rnacentral:lncRNA from 1 species
AUACGAAUAAUAUAAAAAAUUCUAACAUCUAUAUUCUAAUCUACAUUCCCGGACAUUCAUCUAUACAACAGUAAUGUUUUUUUUUUUUUUUUUUCUGACUAAAUAGAAUUCCUGACGUUAGGAUAUCAAAGUGGGGUUAACGAAAAAGAAAACAGAACGAACUUCGUGGAAAUUAAUGACAACGACUAGCUACCUCUGCAAUCGCCAAUCAGGUUUAGUGGCACCAAGAUUCAACCCCCAAUUGAGCAUACAAGGCAGAAUAUUGGCUUGUGUUCUUGAUGGAUUUGGAAAUGUGUUCCGGGUCCGGACCCGGUAACAACAGUCACAGAAAGCACUAGAAUGUGUCACGGCCAGGACCAGUUCCAGAACCAUCAGAAGAGAAAAUUGGACCACAUCACAAGCCGAAAAGGUAACCAUUAAACCAAACCAAAAGUCGGGAGAUCAUUACAUUCAUUUAUGCAAAACACGAUCAUACCGGGAGUUGACAUGUACAUGAUACUUCUUAUCAGACAAGGAAGUUGAAACUAGUUUGUACUUUACUAGUAUUAUAUCAUACAUAUUACUACUGAGCAGUAGCUUUCUUGGCUUUCUUAGCAGCAGAGGACUUGAUGGAUUUGGGCUGCUUUGGUUUGGCAGCAGCCGAUUUCUUUGCCUUCUUAGGCGGAGGAGGAGCGGCGGCGGCAGACUCUGCUUUGAUUUUAGCUGCAGCAGUUACGGACCUUGUUUUCCUUGGGGCCUUGGCCUUGGUCUUGAUCUCUUUUUUGGUUUUGCCAGCUGCCGCUUCAGAGAGCUUGUAAGAGGCCCUGAUCUUGAUGAGAUUUCCUUUCGCAGCGAAGUGCUUCAGCUGCACUGCCAAUAUUUUCCUGAAAUUCGCUGGGAGCUCAUCUUUGUGCUUCUCUUCCAUGUACUUGGCUAUUGCGUAUGGGCUUGAACCGCUCUUAUCUUGCAGCGCCAUCAGUGCCUCCGUUAUCAUCUGCACAAUUAAUUACAAUAAUAUCAAAAACUUCCUUCAAUGAACGUGACUUAUAAUUUAAUUUGAUUAAAUUGACAAACCUGAAAAUAAGGAGGAUGAGAGGGGGUUUUGGACUGCUUUGGCUUCUUCUCUUUAGGAGCCUUGGGCUUCUUGUCCUUAGCAGCCUUGGCCUUCUUCUCAGUGACGACCUUUUCCGGCUCCUCCGCAGCCGGCUGCUGCUCCGUCACAGCUUCACCUUCU